rnacentral:rRNA from 1 species
AAGAAAGUAAGAAAGGGCGUAUGGCGGAUGCCUAGGCUCACGGAGGCGAUGAAGGACGUGAUAAGCUGCGAUAAGCUUCGGGUAGGUGCAAAUAACCCUUGAUCCGAAGAUUUCCGAAUGGGACAACCUAGCCGUCUGAAGGACGGUUACUCUUACCAAGUAAGAGAGCUAACGCAGGGAACUGAAACAUCUUAGUACCUGCAGGAAGAGAAAAUAAAUGAAUGAUUCCCCCAGUAGUGGCGAGCGAACGGGGAACAGCCCAAACCAGUGGCGUCGCAAGGCGUGGCUGGGGUUGUAGGACCGCGACAUUGUAUGCAAAUCGUGAACAGAACACUUUGGAAAAUGUGACCAUAGACGGUGAUAGUCCAGUAUGUGAAGCGAAAUGCAGCAUAGCGGUAUCCUGAGUAACGCGGGACACGAGGAAUCCUGCGCGAAUCUGCCGGGACCAUCCGGUAAGGCUAAAUACUCCCGUGAGACCGAUAGCGAACGAGUACUGUGAAGGAAAGGUGAAAAG